rnacentral:snRNA from 1 species
GUACUUCUUUGGCAGCAAAUAUACUAAAAUUUAGAAUGAUACUGAGAAGAUUAGCAUGACCCAUUUGCAAGGAUGACAUGCAAAUUUGUGAAGCAUUACAUAUUUUU